GAGCCUUACAUUGGAUGCCUAGGCAACCAAAGAUGAAGAAGAGUGUAAUAAAUGACUAAAUGCUUCGAUGAUUUGAAAAUAAACAUAGAUCUAUAGAUUCCCAAAUAGGUCAACCUUCUAAACUAUAGCUGAAUCCAUGGAUAGGCAAGAGACAACUUAGCAAACUAAAACAUCUUAAUGGGAAGAGGAAAAGAAAGCAAAAGUUAUCCCCAUAGUAGCAACGGACAAAAUGAGAGUAGCCUAAACCAUAAAAACGGAGUUAUGGGAAAGAAACACAAGCAUCAUGCUUUUAGGCGAAGUAGUAGAGUACUACACACUAAAUGGCAAGAAUCCAAUAGCCGAAAGCAUCACUAGCUUACGCUCUGACCCGAGUAGCAUGGGGCACGUGGAAUCCCGUAUGAAUCAACAAGGAUCACCUUGCAAGGCUAAAUACUCCUGGGUGACCAAUAGCAAAGUAGUACCAUGAGAAAAGAAUAAAAAUAACCUCCAUUGGGAAGCAAAAUAGAAUAUAAAACCAGAAGCUCCCAAGUAGUGGGAAGAGCCCAAGACAAUUGUCACUAGGGGUGUCAAUGGUAUUCAAAAAUCUGAUUUCGAAUUCGAGAUUCGACAAGAUUCAACAUAAUCGAAUCAAAUUCGACUAAGUCAAAUAUCUAAUUGGUUGAAUUUGGAUAUCCUAUUCAUACCGAAUAGAUAAUCGGAUUUGAAUUCAAAUGUGACAUGAUUCAUAUUGAUAAAUAUUUUAAUUUGAUCGAUUAUUUAAUUCUUAUAUAUAAUAUAUAAAAUACUUAAAUAUUUUAUAUAAUUUAUAUAUAAUAAUUAAAUUAUAUAAAUAAUUUAUAUACUUUAUAUAAAAAAUAUUUAUUUUAUAUAUUUAUUAAUUACCUAAAAUAAUUAACUGAUCAACUUCGAAUCAAAUUGAAUUCAAAUUCGAACAUUAAUUUUCAAUAUCCAUCUAAUAUUGAAUCGGAUUCGGAUAUCGAAUCUUCUAAUCGAGUUAUUUAUUAAUUACCUAAUUCUCACUAUUAUGGACCUGAACCUGGGUUAUUUAGUUGGGUAAAACUAAGUGGAGGUCCAAAUUGAUUGAUGUUGAAGAAUUAGCAGAUGAGUUGUGGUUAGGGGUGAAAUGCCACUCGAACCCAGAGUUAGUUGGUUUCAACGAAAUGCGUUAAGGUCCAAAAAUCCAUUGGACAUAUAGGGGUAAAGCACUAUUUCGAUGCAGGUUGCUAGAGUGACACCAAAUUGAGGCAAACUCUAAAUACUAGAUAUAACCCCAAAAUAACAAGGGUCAAGGUCAUCCAGUGAGACAAUGGGGGAUAAGCUUCAUUAUUGAGAGGGAAACAAUCAGCUUUGCCUAGAAGGAUGUAUGGGUGCAAAGAUAGCUAGGAGAUUUUCUUAAAAGUAGCCACCAUUGAAAGAGUGUAAUAUCUCAUCGAUUGAGUUCUCUUGCGCCAAAGAUGAACAAGGCUAAAGGAUCUUCCAAAUCUAUGGGAUGUGUGAAUAUUCUUGUACUACCCCUUGUUGGUCCCGAGGGACGGAGGAGGCUAGGUUAGCCGAAAGAUGGUUAUCGGUUCAAGGACGCAAGGUGACCUUGCUUUUUCAAGGUAAGAAAGGGUGGAGAAAAUUUCUCAAGCCAAUGUUCAAGUACCAUGCACUAUGGCACUAAAGUAACCCAUGCCAUACUCCCAGGAAAAGCUCGAACGACCAAAACAAAAGGGUACCUGUAACCAAAUCCAACACAGGUGGGUAGGUAGGAAAUACCCAGGGGUGUGAGACAACUCUCUCUAAAGAACUUGACAAAAUAGCCCAACAACAUUGCUAGAAAGGGUGCCUCCUCACAAAGGAGGUCGUAGUGACCAAUCUCUAGUGAUUGUUUACUAAAAACAUAGGCCUCUAUAAAGUCGCAAGACCAUGUGUAGGGGUUAAUGCCUCCCAGUGCUAGAAGGUCAAAGAAGUUGGUGGCCUGAUGAUAGGAGAGCCAGUGAUCGAAGCCCUAGUGAACAAUAGUUGUAACUAUAAUAGUCCUAAAGUAGCAAAAUUCCUUACCAAGAAAGUUUGUAUGAAAGGUGUAAUGAUCUGGGCAUCUUCUCGAAAGAGAGGCUCAAUGAAAUAG
rnacentral:ncRNA from 1 species